GGUCGGUUAGCUUCGUCCGUAGAGGCCACCAGACUGCUUAAUCUGGCUGUCGCGGGUUCGAGCCCCGCAUCGGGCU